rnacentral:lncRNA from 1 species
GCAAUAAGAGCGGCCAGAUCAUGGGAGCAGAGAAGCAGAAAACAUCACUAAAGCUGUGUUCACCUGUGAUUUGAUUUGUUAAUUACUUUUAAUAACUCUCUGCCAUUUGGAGGCCAUCAAGUGGUUCAUUUCUUUUCAUCUAAGUUAUCCUUCUUGUUUCAUGUAGCUUCAAAAAACUGACCUUACCCUUUUUUUUAAAAUCUUCUUCAAAUAAUUUUCUAUGGAUGUCCUGAGACAUUGAGGAAUGUCUUAGAAGGAAAUACCUUCUUGAAAGAAUGCAUAUCCCAGUAUUGGGCAUUAAAUGAUUAAAUAACCAUCUCUGAGCUUCCUCUAAACAAGUUGUCAGGAAGAAAUAUAGAGGUGUUGUCCAAGAACCAUCCUGGCAUCCUUGUUACUGCCCAAUAAGGAAUGUGCCUUCAUGUUAGAUCUCAAAUGGGAAGUGAUUGAACCCACCAAAGGGAUUCACCAAAAGCCUUUAAAACAUCCUUCCCAAACCAACAGCAGAAAGAGACACACAAAUUACUGCAAGACAUCUAUGACUAUAUACAUACAUACAACACAGUAUCCUGAAUCCUGAAGUUAUAGCAAUGCUCCUUAGCUAAAAGCACCUCAAGAAGAGAAGAGGAUUUUUCAGAAUCUCUGUGAUGUGCCCCUUGGGGAUGGGUAAUAUGUCCUUUCCUACUUCACCCCAACCCUAUCUCCAUUUCUGUAAGAAUCACUACCACAGAGAGCCACUGCUACAAAUGGAAAAGAGGUUAGUCUUUCAAAUUGCUCAGACCAAAAAUAACAGUAAUAAUAAUAACGUUGAGAAACAUUCUACACUGGAGAAACAAGAGCUGCUGUGUCACCAACCUGAAUACGAGGUAGUGCUUUAAAACAGGGGCACCCUGUUUUAAAGGUACGAGGCAAGAUUAUGGUGCCCCAGCUGGAAGGAAUCAGGCACUAUAUCUUCCCUAGCAAACUAUCUAAUUGGAAGCUACCUAUGUCAGAUGCAAGUGGCAUCAAUACUUACUUCCUCAAGUAAAUGAUACACUGCUGUUGUUUAAAGAAGCUGGACUCUGUUGCUUCAGAACUUGUUGGAAACCAUCCAAACAAAACCAAGUUUAUCAAAGGUCAAACUAAUGUCUUUAUGCCCCAGCCCACAGCAUACUCAAGGCACUCUGGAAACAGAUGAGUGACCUCCUCACAAGCCUGCAAACAGACUGAG